rnacentral:rRNA from 1 species
AUUGAACGCUGGCGGCAGGCUUAACACAUGCAAGUCGAGCGCCCCGCAAGGGGAGCGGCAGACGGGUGAGUAACACGUGGGAAUCUACCCAUCCCUGCGGAACAACUCCGGGAAACUGGAGCUAAUACCGCAUACGCCCUACGGGGGAAAGAUUUAUCGGGGAUGGAUGAGCCCGCGUUGGAUUAGCUAGUUGGUGGGGUAAAGGCCUACCAAGGCGACGAUCCAUAGCUGGUCUGAGAGGAUGAUCAGCCACAUUGGGACUGAGACACGGCCCAAACUCCUACGGGAGGCAGCAGUGGGGAAUAUUGGACAAUGGGCGCAAGCCUUAUCCAGCCAUGCCGCGUGAGUGAUGAAGGCCUUAGGGUUGUAAAGCUCUUUCACCGAUGAAGAUAAUGACGGUAGUCGGAGAAGAAGCCCCGGCUAACUUCGUGCCAGCCGCCGCAGUAA